rnacentral:rRNA from 1 species
GUAAGGAAUAUUGGACAAUGGACGCAAGUCUGAUCCAGCCAUGCCGCGUGAAGGAUUAAGGUCCUCUGGAUUGUAAACUUCUUUUAUAAGGGACGAAAAAAGGCUUUUCUAAGUCGUCUGACGGUACCUUAUGAAUAAGCACCGGCUAACUCCGUGCCAGCAGCCGCGGUAAUACGGAGGGUGCAAGCGUUAUCCGGAUUCACUGGGUUUAAAGGGUGCGUAGGCGGGCAGGUAAGUCAGUGGUGAAAUCCUAGAGCUUAACUCUAGAACUGCUAUUGAUACUAUCUGUCUUGAAUAUUGUGAAGGUAAGCGGAAUAUGUCAUGUAGCGGUGAAAUGCUUAGAUAUGACAUAGAACACCUAUUGCGAAGGCAGCUUACUACGCAUAUAUUGACGCUGAGGCACGAAAGCGUGGGGAUCAAACAGGAUUAGAAACCCCUGUAGUCC